UACAGAGGUGCCAAGCGUUAGGCGGAAUCACUGGGCUUAAAGCGCGUGUAGGUGGACGGGUAAGUAUCUUGUGAAAUCCCACGGCUCAACCGUGGAACUGCUGGAUAUACUGCUUGUCUUGAGGCACUCAGGGGCAGCUGGAACAAAUGGUGGAGCGGUGAAAUGCGUAGAUAUCAUUUGGAACGCCAAAGGUGAAAACAGGCUGCUGGGAGUGAUCUGACACUGAGACGCGAAAGCCAGGGGAGCAAACGGG
rnacentral:rRNA from 1 species